GAUGAAGGACGUAGCGAAAUGCGAUAAGUAAUGUGAAUUGCAGAAUUCAGUGAAUCAUCGAAUCUUUGAACGCACAUUGCGCCCGGUAGUAUUCUGCCGGGCAUGCCUGUUCGAGCGUCAUUUCAACCAUCAAGCCCCAGCGCUUGUGUUGGGGGCCUGCGGCUGCCGCAGCCCCCUAAAAGCAGUGGCGGGCUCGCUAUCACACCGAGUGCAGUAGUUCAUCUUCUCUCCGGUCUUGUGAGGCGGGUUCCGGCCGUGAAACACCCCACUACAUUCAAGGUUGACCUCGGAUCAGGUAGGAAUACCCGCUGAACUUAAGCAUAUCAAUAAGCGGAGGA
rnacentral:misc_RNA from 1 species